rnacentral:rRNA from 1 species
UAAUAUGGAGGGUGGGAGGGUUAAUCGGAAUUACUGGGCGUAAAGCGCAUGCAGGUGGUUUGUUAAGUCAGAUGUGAAAGCCCGGGGCUCAACCUCGGAAUUGCAUUUGAAACUGGCAAACUAGAGUACUGUAGAGGGGGGUAGAAUUUCAGGUGUAGCGGUGAAAUGCGUAGAGAUCUGAAGGAAUACCGGUGGCGAAGGCGGCCCCCUGGACAGAUACUGACACUCAGAUGCGAAAGCGUGGGGAGCAAACAGGAUUAGAUACCCUGGUAGUCCACGCCGUAAACGAUGUCUACUUGGAGGUUGUGGCCUUGAGCCGUGGCUUUCGGAGCUAACGCGUUAAGUAGACCGCCUGGGGAGUACGGUCGCAAGAUUAAAACUCAAAUGAAUUGACGGGGGCCCGCACAAGCGGUGGAGCAUGUGGUUUAAUUCGAUGCAACGCGAAGAACCUUACCUACUCUUGACAUCUACAGAAGCCAGCGGAGACGCAGGUGUGCCUUCGGGAACUGUAAGACAGGUGCUGCAUGGCUGUCGUCAGCUCGUGUUGUGAAAUGUUGGGUUAAGUCCCGCAACGAGCGCAACCCUUAUCCUUGUUUGCCAGCACUUCGGGUGGGAACUCCAGGGAGACUGCCGGUGAUAAACCGGAGGAAGGUGGGGACGACGUCAAGUCAUCAUGGCCCUUACGAGUAGGGCUACACACGUGCUACAAUGGCGCAUACAGAGGGCGGCCAACUUGCGAAAGUGAGCGAAUCCCAAAAAGUGCGUCGUAGUCCGGAUUGGAGUCUGCAACUCGACUCCAUGAAGUCGGAAUCGCUAGUAAUCGUGGAUCAGAAUGCCACGGUGAAUACGUUCCCGGGCCUUGUACACACCGCCCGUCACACCAUGGGAGUGGGCUGCAAAAGAAGUGGGUAGUUUAACCUUCGGGAGGACGCUCACCACUUUGUGGUUCAUGACUGGGGUGAAGUCGUAACAAGGUAACCG